rnacentral:rRNA from 1 species
AUUGAACGCUGGCGGAAUGCUUAACACAUGCAAGCCGAACGGCAGCACGGACUUCGGUCUGGUGGCGAGUGGCGAACGGGUGAGUAAUACAUCGGAACGUGCCCAGUCGUGGGGGAUAACGUAGCGAAAGCUACGCUAAUACCGCAUACGAUCUAAGGAGGAAAGCGGGGGAUCGCAAGACCUCGCGCGAUUGGAGCGGCCGAUGGCAGGUUAGGUGGUUGGAAGGGUAAAGGCCUACAAAGCCGACGAUCUGUAGCUGGUCGGAGAGGAUGAUAAGUCACGCUGGGACUGACACACGGCCCAGCGUCCUACGGGGGGCAGCGGUGGGGAAGUUUGGACAAUGGGCGCAAGCCUUAUCGAGCCAUUCCGCGUGCAGGAUGAAGGCCUACGGGUUGUAACUGCUUUUGUACAGAACGAAAAGGCUCUGGUUAAUACCCGGGGCUCAUGACGGUACUGUAAGAAUAAGCACCGGCUAACUACGUGCCAGCAGCCGCCGUAA